rnacentral:rRNA from 1 species
AAUGUUGGAAUGACUCUCGGCAACGGAUAUCUCGGCUCUCGCAUCGAUGAAGAACGUAGCGAAAUGCGAUACGUGGUGUGAAUUGCAGAAUCCCGUGAACCAUCGAGUUUUUGAACGCAAGUUGCGCCCGAGGCCAUCUGGCCGAGGGCACGCCUGCCUGGGCGUCAGUU